AUGAACGCUAGCUACAGGCUUAACACAUGCAAGUCGAGGGGCAGCAGGGCAAUAGCUUGCUAUUGCUGCUGGCGACCGGCGCACGGGUGAGUAACGCGUAUCCAACCUACCCCGCGGUCAGGGACAGCCCGGCGAAAGUCGGAUUAAUACCUGAUGCAGUCAGAAGAGGGCAUCUGAUUUUGACGAAAGAUUGAUCGCCUCGGGAUGGGGGAUGCGUAGGAUUAGGCAGGCGGCGGGGUAACGGCCCACCGCGCCGACGAUCCUUAGGGGUCUGAGAGGAAGGUCCCCCACACUGGUACUGAGACACGGACCAGACUCCUACGGGAGGCAGCAGUGAGGAAUAUUGGUCAAUGGGCGUGAGCCUGAACCAGCCAAGUAGCGUGCAGGACGACGGCCCUAUGGGUUGUAAACUGCUUUUAUGCGGGGAUAAAGUGCGGCACGUGUGCCGUUUUGUAGGUACCGCAUGAAUAAGGACCGGCUAAUUCCGUGCCAGCCGCUGC
rnacentral:rRNA from 1 species